rnacentral:misc_RNA from 1 species
GAUGAAGAACGCAGCAAAAUGCGAUAAGUAAUGUGAAUUGCAGAAUUCAGUGAAUCAUCGAAUCUUUGAACGCACAUUGCGCCCGCCAGUAUUCUGGCGGGCAUGCCUGUUCGAGCGUCAUUUCAACCCUCAAGCACAGCUUGGUGUUGGGACUCGCGUUAAUUCGCGUUCCCCAAUUUGAUUGGCGGUCACGUCGAGCUUCCAUAGCGUAGUAGUAAAACCCUCGUUACUGGUAAUCGUCGCGGCCACGCCGUUAAACCCCAACUUCUGAAUGUUGACCUCGGAUCAGGUAGGAAUACCCGCUGAACUUAAGCAUAUCAAUAAGCGGAGGA